rnacentral:rRNA from 1 species
UGAACGCUGGCGGCGUGCCUACUACAUGCAAGUCGAGCGAACAGACGAGGAGCUUGCUCCUCUGACGUUAGCGGCGGACGGGUGAGUAACACGUGGAUAACCUACCUAUAAGACUGGGAUAACUUCGGGAAACCGGAGCUAAUACCGGAUAAUAUAUUGAACCGCAUGGUUCAAUAGUGAAAGACGGUUUUGCUGUCACUUAUAGAUGGAUCCGCGCCGCAUUAGCUAGUUGGUAAGGUAACGGCUUACCAAGGCAACGAUGCGUAGCCGACCUGAGAGGGUGAUCGGCCACACUGGAACUGAGACACGGUCCAGACUCCUACGGGAGGCAGCAGUAGGGAAUCUUCCGCAAUGGGCGAAAGCCUGACGGAGCAACGCCGCGUGAGUCAUGAAGGUCUUCGGAUCGUAAAACUCUGUUAUUAGGGAAGAACAAAUGUGUAAGUAACUAUGCACGUCUUGACGGUACCUAAUCAGAAAGCCACGGCUAACUACGUG